CGAACUAGGCAAUGGUCCGAUGACCCGAG
rnacentral:sRNA from 1 species